rnacentral:rRNA from 1 species
UACGGGGGGGGCUAGCGUUGUUCGGAAUUACUGGGCGUAAAGCGCGCGUAGGCGGAUUGUUAAGUCGGGGGUGAAAUCCCGGGGCUCAACCCCGGAACUGCCUUCGAUACUGGCAAUCUGGAGUUCGAGAGAGGUGAGUGGAAUUCCGAGUGUAGAGGUGAAAUUCGUAGAUAUUCGGAGGAACACCAGUGGCGAAGGCGGCUCACUGGCUCGAUACUGACGAUGAGGUGCGAAAGCGUGGGGAGCAAACAGG